rnacentral:lncRNA from 1 species
GUAAUGUUAUUUGGAAAAGUAUCUCUGCAAUACACAUACUCUUUUGUACGGUGUGGGCUGUUGGCUUGGCGUCCUACCUCUUGCAUCGUACACAACAGAACAUCUUACAUGAGGAAGAAGGCAGGGAGCUGUCUGGUCUGGUGAUUAUUACAGCAUGGAUUAUCCUGUGCCACAGUUCCUCAAAAGGCAGAGUCUUGCUUUGUUGCCCAGACUGGAAGGCAGUGGCCCGAUCACAGCUCACUGCAGCUUCAAACUCCUAGGCUCCAGUGACCCACUCACCUCAGCCUCCCAAAGUGAUGGGAUUACAGGCGUGAGCCACCACAUCUGGCCCCAAGAACUGUUUUCAAUGAUAGCAUUUUAUUUAAUAUUAUAAAAUUAAUAUGAAGAAGUUGCUACUAAAAGAAGCACUUUAGCAAAUAAAAUUUAAUAGAUCAGGU